ensembl:snRNA Gm23429 U4 spliceosomal RNA
AGCUUUAUGGAGUGGCAUUAUCAUAGCCAGUGAGGUUUAUCUGAGGCACAAUUAUUGGUAAUUGAAAACUCUUCCCAAUGCCUCGCUGUGACAACUUACAAUAUAGUUGGCAUUGACAAUUGUUGCCAGGGUCUAUGGAGACUGAAUAAC